GACGAACGCUGGCGGCGUGCUUAACACAUGCAAGUCGAACGGAAAGGCCCUGCUUUUGUGGGGUGCUCGAGUGGCGAACGGGGGAGUAACACGUGAGUAACCUGCCCUUGACUUUGGGAUAACUUCAGGAAACUGGGGCUAAUACCGGAUAGGAUCUCCUGCUCCAUGGUGGGGGUUGGAAAGUUUCGGCGGGUGGGGAUGGACGCGCGGCUUAUCAGCUUGUUGGUGGGGUAGUGGCAUACCAAGGCUGUGACGGGUAGCCGGCUUGGGAGGGUGAACGGGGACCAGGGUACUGCGAGACGGCGCAGACUGCUACGGGAGGCAGCAGCGGGGAAUAUUGCACAAUGGGCGGAAGCCUGAUGCAGAAACGCCGCGUGCGGGAUGACGGCCUUCGGGGUGUGAACCGCUUUCGCCUGUGACGAAGCGGGAGUGACGGUAAUGGGUGAAGAAGCACCGGCUAACUACGUG
rnacentral:rRNA from 1 species